rnacentral:tRNA from 1 species
GGUCCGAUUACGCCUAUUCCUAAUCCUAAAUGGAAUGUAACGACGUAGGGAUCCAUAUGUAAACAUAGUACCUAUUUAGAU